CCUACGGGGUGCAGCAGUGAGGAAUAUUGGUCAAUGGGCGCGAGCCUGAACCAGCCAAGUAGCGUGAAGGAUGACUGCCCUACGGGUUGUAAACUUCUUUUAUAAAGGAAUAAAGUGAGGCACGUGUGCCUUUUUGAGUUUACUUUAUGAAUAAGGAUCGGCUAACUCCGUCCCAGCAGCCGCGGUAAUACGGAGGAUCCGAGCUUUAUCCGGAUUUAUUGGGUUUAAAGGGAGCGAGGAUGGUUGUUAAGUCAGUUGUGAAAGUUUGCGGCUCAACCGUAAAAUUGCAAUUGAUACUGGCAGUCUUGAGUGCAGGUGAGGUAGGCGGAAUUCGUGGUGUAGCGGUGAAAUGCUUAGAUAUCACGAAGAACUCCGAUUGCGAAGGCAGCUUACUAACCUGCCACUGACAUUGAUGCUCGAAAGUGUGGGUAUCAAACAGGAUUAGAUACCCCAGUAGUC
rnacentral:rRNA from 1 species